rnacentral:rRNA from 1 species
UAGGGUAUCUUCCACAAUGGACGCAAGUCCGAUGGAGCAACGCCGCGUGAGUGAAGAAGGUUUUCGGAUCGUAAAGCUCUGUUGUUGGUGAAGAAGGAUAGAGGCAGUAACUGGUCUUUAUUUGACGUUAAUCAACCAGAAAGUCACGGCUAACUACGUGCCAGCAGCCGCGGUAAUACGUAGGUGGCAAGCGUUGUCCGGAUUUAUUGGGCGUAAAGCGAGCGCAGGCGGAAUGAUAAGUCUGAUGUGAAAGCCCACGGCUCAACCGUGGAACUGCAUCUGAAACUGUCAUUCUUGAGAGCAGAAGAGGAGAGUGGAAUUCAAUGUGUAGCGGUGGAAUGCAUAGAUAUAUGGAGAAACACCAGUGGCGAAGGCGGCUCUCUGGUCUGCAACUGACGCUGAGGCUCGAAAGCAUGGGUAGCGAACAGG